rnacentral:rRNA from 1 species
UAGUCAGCGGAGGAAAAGAAACUAACCAGGAUUCCCUCAGUAACGGCGAGUGAACAGGGAAGAGCCCAGCGCCGAAUCCCCGUCCCGCGGCGGGGCGCGGGAAAUGUGGCGUACGGAAGACCCCCUCCCCGGCGCCGCUCCCUCGGGGGGCCCAAGUCCUUCUGAUCGAGGCACAGCCCGCGGACGGUGUGAGGCCGGUAGCGGCCCCCGGCGCGUCGGGACCGGGUCUUCUCGGAGUCGGGUUGCUUGGGAAUGCAGCCCAAAGCGGGUGGUAAACUCCAUCUAAGGCUAAAUACCGGCACGAGACCGAUAGUCGACAAGUACCGUAAGGGAAAGUU